rnacentral:lncRNA from 1 species
CAGCCCAGUCCCAGAAGGAGCUUGGGAAUACAGCAGUAGGCUUUAAAGCUUGCCUGUCAUUCGCCUACACUUCUGGAAUCCUCAAGUUGUGUUGACCCACCUGGGAACACUGCUGGUUCCAGAAUGCCAAGCUCCACAGAAAUGUGAAAUUAACAAGGAAUUGUUCACCUGAUGAAAAGGAACAUGGAGAGAUGGUUCUUGAAUCUGAAUAGGAGGAGAUCGUGCCUGGACACUAGGAAGAAUCUUCUGCAUUGAUUUGAUUAAAAAACAACUAUCUAA